UACGAAGGGGACUAGCGUUGUUCGGAAUUACUGGGCGUAAAGCGCACGUAGGCGGACUUGUAAGUCAGGGGUGAAAUCCCGGGGCUCAACCUCGGAACUGCCUUUGAUACUGCAAAUCUCGAGUCCGGUAGAGGUGGGUGGAAUUCCUAGUGUAGAGGUGAAAUUCGUAGAUAUUAGGAAGAACACCGGUGGCGAAGGCGGCCCACUGGAUCGGUACUGACGCUGAGGUGCGAAAGCGUGGGGAGCAAACAGG
rnacentral:rRNA from 1 species